UACGAAGGGGGCUAGCGUUGCUCGGAAUCACUGGGCGUAAAGCGCACGUAGGCGGAUUGUUAAGUCGGGGGUGAAAUCCUGGAGCUCAACUCCAGAACUGCCUUCGAUACUGACGAUCUCGAGUCCGGGAGAGGUGAGUGGAACUCCGAGUGUAGAGGUGAAAUUCGUAGAUAUUCGGAAGAACACCAGUGGCGAAGGCGGCUCACUGGCCCGGUACUGACGCUGAGGUGCGAAAGCGUAGGUAGCGAAUGGG
rnacentral:rRNA from 1 species